AGUAAAGUGUAAGAUACUUAACUUGGCCUUAGCAGAAGUGAAUCUUUUGCUAAACAUUGUCAAAUUGCGGGGACCCCUUAAAGCUAUUUUAACUAAAUGUAUUAGGUAACUAAUAGAUGGCUCAGGUAAUGACUCGAGGUAUAGUAAAAUCAAAAUAGAUGCACGAAAGGAAAUAGGCAAUCCGCAGCCAAGUGCCUAGUUAGGUAUGCAGUUCAUCGACUAAAUGGUAAUGGGUGUUAAAUCCUUUGAUUUAAUGCUUAAGAUAUAGUCAGACCCUACUUGAAAAAGUACA
rnacentral:ncRNA from 1 species